CUACCCGGGUAUCUAAUCCCGUUCGCUCCCCUGGCUUUCGCGCCUCAGCGUCAGUUUUCGUCCAGAAAGCCGCUUUCGCCACUGGUGUUCCUCCUAAUAUCUACGCAUUUCACCGCUACACUAGGAAUUCCGCUUUCCUCUCCGAUACUCUGAGCUUCCCAGUUUCCAUCCCAUCACGGGGUUAAGCCCCGCACUUUUAAGACAGACUUAAGAAGCCGCCUGCGCGCCCUUUACGCCCAAUAAUUCCGGACAACGCUUGCCACCUACGUAUUACCGCGGCUGCUGGCAC
rnacentral:rRNA from 1 species